AACCAAAAAUUAAUUAUAAUUUUACAAUUUUAUCAUUCAAUAAUUUAUAUUUUCUUACUAAUUGUAUUUUUUUAUUACUAAAACAUAAGUACAAUAUUUUAAAUUUCAAGAGAAAGGAUUACAACUCUUGGAUCAAAAAUUUUGAUUCUAUAAUUUUUUUUUUAAGAGAUAGCUAGUAUACUACCUGCAUCGUUUAUUUCAUUUAGAAAUAAAUUUUGCUGAAAAUGUGAAUCAAUUAGAAUUCGAAUUUGGAAUCUCAGAUACUAACCACCGAGUCCUUUGCUAUUUGCGCUAGGGACGGUCGGUUAUAAUUCUUUUUGA
rnacentral:lncRNA from 1 species